rnacentral:rRNA from 1 species
GAGUUUGAUCCUGGCUCAGAUUGAACGCUGGCGGCAUGCCUUACACAUGCAAGUCGAACGGCAGCACGGGAGCUUGCUCCUGGUGGGCGAGUGGCGAACGGGUGAGUAAUGCAUCGGAACGUAUCCUGGAGUGGGGGAUAACGUAGCGAAAGUUACGCUAAUACCGCAUAUUCUGUGAGCAGGAAAGCGGGGGAUCUUCGGGCCUCGCGCUCUUGGAGCGGCCGAUGUCGGAUUAGCUAGUUGGUGAGGUAAAGGCUCACCAAGGCGACGAUCCGUAGCAGGUCUGAGAGGAUGAUCUGCCACACUGGAACUGAGACACGGUCCAGACUCCUACGGGAGGCAGCAGUGGGGAAUUUUGGACAAUGGGGGCAACCCUGAUCCAGCCAUGCCGCGUGAGUGAAGAAGG